GAUGAACGCUAGCUACAGGCUUAACACAUGCAAGUCGAGGGACCGGCGCACGGGUGAGUAACACGUAUCCAACCUGCCCUUUACUCGGGGAUAGCCUUUCGAAAGAAAGAUUAAUACCCGCUCUAAAGGAUGGGGAUGCGUUCCAUUAGGUUGUUGGUGAGGUAACGGCUCACCAAGCCUUCGAUGGAUCGGGGUUCGGAGAGGAAGGGCCCCCUGAUUGGAACUGAGACACGGACCAAACGCAGACGGGGGGCAGCAGUGAGGAAUAUUGGGCGAUGGGCGCUAGCCUGAACCAGCCGAGUAGCGUGAAGGAUGAAGGGUUUUGGGUCGUAAGUUUGUUUUAUGUAAGAAUAUGUAUUAGAUGAAUAAGGAUCGGCUAACUCCGUGCCAGCAGCCGCGGUAAUAC
rnacentral:rRNA from 1 species